UAAGGCACCUGCCCAAGAUUACACAGUUAAUAAAUGACUGACUGAGGUUUGAACCCAACUCAUUUGACUUCAACACUUACAGAAUUGACUACUCAGAUAAGAGAGAGCCGUCUCUCAGGGAAAUAUGGAAAAGCAAUACUCCACAAACCUCAACGGCAAGAAGAGUUCCUCCAAAGGUGAGAUCUUGAUGAAAGUGAGCAAUGGAUAGUUAACUCUCCCAAAGGAUACAAAAGGCAUUUAUAAAAUGGAUGACAAACAUUGUAAGGAAUAUACUUUCCUCCAAAUGAAUAUAAAUUCUAUGAAAAUCUCCAAAGACCUUUGAAAGGAAAUGCUCCGCCCCUUUCCUCUACCAGCAAUAUCUGUUGAAGCAGUAUGAAGGGGAGAGGUGAACACUGGAUUGUUUUAGCUCUUGUCAUUAAAGAAAGCGUGUACAUUAAGGCAGCACAGAGAAGGUAUUGAUUUGUGAGACACAAACAGUCAAACACGUACAUCCAUUCUCCAUCCUAAGCAUCCAUCUCCUCUAAGACCCCGCUCAGAUGCUGAAGGACCAGAGAAGACUAAAUCACAAAGCCCAGUUUCCCUUGUUCUCUCAUGGAGAGGCUUGCUCUUGCACAUGUGGACACACUAAGGAUUUUACUCUAGUUUCUCUCUCUCUCUCUCUCUCUCUCUCUCUCUCUCUCUCUCUCUCUCUCUCUCUCUCUCCACAUAUGUGUGUGUGUGUGUGUGUGUGACAUACAUGAUAUAUAUGAUGUAUGUGUGUAUUUAUGUAUGUGUAUGUGUGUGUGAGAGAGAGUAAUCUAGCCCCUGUUGCUUUCCCAUUUUAUAUUUAUUUCUUUUAAUAGUGAGCCUAAGAGAGAGACUCUAGAUUUAAGCUCACAUGGUGCUUGGGAGUCCCAUUCUUACAGUCCUGAGAGCUGAUAGGAAGCUCAAGACACACACACUGCCUCUGCAGCUGACAGGAGCCUCCAUCCCCAUCCCUCUGCAUUUCUCCCAGCUUCUCGGUGCCAGGAAUCUCUAGGAGGGCACCCGAACCUUUGGUCAGUCUCCCUCACGCCUCCGCUCUGCUCUCUGCCCUCCCACCCCGACAGUUCCCUAGCCACCUGCCUGGGAAUAUGCUUACUGCAGAGCCCUUUGGUGCCACAACCCUCCACUCAUGUGCUGCCCCCCAAAACCUUGUAAUGGAGGAUACAGUGGGCAUGACUGUGUCCAUUUUGUUUAUGAAGAGACCUGGAUGGAACCAGGAUGAAGCGACUUGCCUGAAUUAGUCACCCUGGGGCAAAUCCGGGCCUCCAACCAGGGCAUCCUCACCACCUCACUGAUCACCCUCCACAAAAAAUCGUGGAUCCUAUCAGGCUAGCGGUGUGCUUCCAUCCGUGUCAAACUGACAACACUAAGAGAGAUAGUCAAGCAUGGCUCAUUAGAUACGUGCAGAAGAGCUGCGUGUUGCAGCGUUCUCUGAAAUCCUGUAAGAUUGAAAACACGGGACCUCAUGCAGUUGAUGUAAUUCCUGACACAUUUUAUACCACUUCAAUUCUGUCAGUUGUCUGAGUAUGGAUGCACUCCAUUACUAGCCAUCUGUGAGGCGAUCAAUACAGCAACACAGAAAGGACAGAGGGUUAGAAGUCUAACCUCCUGGCAAGCUACGCCUGCUACAAUGCUGACUUCACCUCGUCAGACUCUGAUGUCACCUCUCCAGAUGCUGCCGUCCUCACCUACAAGAUAAGGAAGACCAACAACAUAAUCUCAAAUGUUCCAUGAAGUUCUAAAGUGGCAAGGUCCUGUUUUAGGCAUGUGAAAUUAGACGGCUAAACAUUGUGCUUUCUAAAAUCCUCCCUUGUCCUAACAUUUCAAAGCUUCAUAAACAUAUUUUCUGAGUCAUUUCUCUCUUGGGCUAAACAUAUGGUCCUUGGUUUUCCAAGAGGUCCUGUGCAGUAAACAUAAGCCCUGUGGGUUGCACUGACUUGGGAGAGCAUUUCGGUCAGCAACGCCAUCUGCCAGCUUCUGUCAUCCUCAUGUAAAAUGUAAAGUGGUGUCCCCUCCGGACAAACUGGAGAAGGGUGCCCUCCCAAGGUCCUGUAAACAGAGAGUGGAAAUAGAAACUCUCUGACCGAGUGCCAGCUUCGAUUUCUCUCCUCACCUGGAUGCAGGUAUCAAGCAUUUGAGCUGACCUACGACACACAACAGCCCUGGGAAAUCAAAAACUAAGAGUUUGUUUCAAGCUAAAGCCAAACUUUCUGAGGAAACUGCUUAAAAGCUGACUCAGGCAGCAUACGCUCUCUAAGCUACCUCAGCUAGACAAAGACCAUGCUAGGAAGUGAAGGACGUCAUGCUUGCAGUACAUACCUGCUGCUGACAACCUAAAGGAUAAUACAGCACCCUCUGCCCCAAUCCUAAAACUGUAAUCUCUGUGGUCCAUGAUGCAAACAAUGAUCUGGCUAAUUGACCCCCAGAGGGAAUGUUCUCCAGUACAGUAAGUUCACCUUUAAAAGACCAUAAGGUGUUGAAGAUAAAGCCUUAAAGCGGGUAAAACAGGAAACACAGAGGUGGGUGGUGUUAAGAAAUAAAGAAAAAGAGAAUCCGGGAACAGAGAAGCUUACAAGGGAUAGUAGUGGUGGCCGUGUUGGACUUAGAGAAGGCUAUCAAAAUAUCUUAAAAGUGACAUUUGAACAGAGAUAUUAUAAAGUGACACCAUAGGAAAACACAAGAGAAAAAAAAAAUCCCGGGGAGGGGACAGGGCAUAGCAUAUACAGGUACGAGAAAAACCAGAAACAUAUUCGGUGUGCGUUAGGGGACAAGCAGGCCACCAUGGCUAGGUGGGCAAAGAAUGGUGUGCUAGGUGAUGACAUCAGAGAAGAAAGCAGACUGGAUCCUGGAUGACCCCACAGGCCAGCACAAGAAUAGCUGUGGCCUUUGCGGAAUCAAUGUGAGGGCAUUGUAGGAAGAGGAAGACAGGGUGGCACACAUCUGUAAAGAGGAUUGCCAGUCCUGCUAAGCUGCACAGUGAGAGCCUGUUUAAAAGAAAUAGAAAGUAAAGACAAGAAAGUUGAUGGUAUCUUUAAACCUGAAAAUGAAUACCAAUGAACACUGGAGGUCAGCUUUCAAAGAUGUGAAAGAAGGAAGGAAGGACAUAAGAGAGAGCAAAGCUACCCUGAUGACCUGCCUCUCUCAGGCUCAGUGGCAAGCCCUGAUGUCCUUGAGCUUGACAUUUUAGCCCUAACGUAUUUUGUCUUUUUUUUUCCUCCAGAGCUGAGGACCGAACCCACGGCCUUGCGCUUGCUAGGCAAGCACUCUACCACUGAGCUAAAUCCCUAACCCCAACGUUCACUUUGUAACUACAAUGGAGAGUGUGGGUCCUUGGAGAAGCUUGCUUGGGUAACAGGAGGCUUUGCUCCAUAAAGCGAGGUCUGGUGGAGAGAAGCAUCAGUGGAACAGGGGGAACCUUCUCCUUUGAUCGUUUUUUUUAUUUUCUUGGUGACCCCAGAAAGCCAAGUCAAGAAUUCAGCCAAGUGGAAAUCAUCCUGACUCCUGCAAUACAGACUCAGGCAAACCCAGGCUAAAUUGUUUUUUCCACUCCAACAGACUCAACUCUUAUAAGGAAACUGCUGCUGGCAUUCAGAAGUCACAGGUAUUUAAUAUGACACUGAAAAUCCUUCAGCAGCUGGACAGUGAUUGGUGGUGCUGGGAGCCUGGAAUAGUUUGAAUAAGUUUGGCUUAGGGAGUAGCACUAUUAGGAGGUGUGGCCUUGUUGGCAUAGGUGUGUGACUGUGGGUGUGGCCUUCAGAUGAAGAAGUUGAACUCUUCGCUCCUUCUGCACUGUGCCUUCCUGAACACUGCCAUGCUUCCAUCUUGAUGGUAAUGGACUGAACUUCUAUGUACCUGUAAGCCAGCCCCAAUUAAAUGUUGUCCUUGUG
rnacentral:lncRNA from 1 species